rnacentral:rRNA from 1 species
AGGUAGCAAUACCUGAGUAAAGCGGCGCACGGGUGAGUAACACGUGGACAACCUGCCUCAAAGUGGGGAAUAACACCGGGAAACCGGUGCUAAUACCGCAUAUUCUGAUGGAGUCUGUGGACUUUGUCAGUAAAGGAGCAAUUCGCUAUGAGAGGGGUCCGCGGCUGAUUAGCUAGUUGGUGAGGUAAUGGCUCACCAAGGCAACGAUCAGUAGCCGGUCUGAGAGGACGGUCGGCCACACUGGAACUGAGACACGGUCCAGACUCCUACGGGAGGCAGCAGUGGGGAAUUUUUCGCAAUGGGGGCAACCCUGACGAAGCAAUGCCGCGUGGAUGAUGAAGUAUUUCGGUACGUAAAAUCCUUUCGACAGGGACGAAACCGCAGGGUUGACGGUACCUGUAGAAGAAGCCCCGGCUAACUCCGUGCCAGCAGCCGCGGUAAUACGGGGGGGGCAAGCGUUGUUCGGAAUUACUGGGCGUAAAGGGUGCGUAGGCGGCUUUUCUAAGUUGAUGUGAAAACUCUGGGCUCAACCCAGAGACUGCAUCCAAAACUGGAAAGCUUGGGUUCUGGAGGGGAAAGCGGAAUUCCUGGUGUAGCGUGAAUGCGUAAAUUUCAGGAGGACACCGGUGGCGAAGGCGG